CCUGCCCUUUAGUCAUAGACAUUCUCAGCACUAAGCCCAUCAAGUUCAAGAAGAAUGCAUGCACAUAUGACUGAUCAGACCGAAUGUUGGUUGAUGAAGUGUUGAGUUUUGUAUAAGUUGCUCAUGUUUUUCCUGUUAUUGUAUUUUCUGGAUUGCAGCCUGGGUUUCUUCCACUUCAUAAGGAAAAAUGAGAUGUAUUCAUAGUCCUUUUAAGGUUCACGCAAGCAAUAUGCAAAGCUAUGCUGCACGUACGAUAUGUUUAGUCUUUUGAAAGGAUCAUGGAAGUGAAAUAAUGUUUGCCAAGAAUGUAAAUCAACAGAGGAGAUUGUGAAUAAUUCUAUGCUUGUUGCUUAGCUCCAUCUUUCUUGCCGCUGCAUUCCAAACCCAAUGAGGUUCCGUGUGAGCAUUAAAUCUUAAAGUAAGCUUUUAAAUAAGUCAACUAAAUAUUUUAUUGUCUCUUCCCAUAUAAAAUUGUGUUUCAUAUGGUAACUCGGGC
rnacentral:lncRNA from 1 species